rnacentral:rRNA from 1 species
GACGAACGCUGGCGGCGUGCCUAAUACAUGCAAGUUGAGCGCUGAAGGUUGGUACUUGUACCAACUGGAUGAGCAGCGAACGGGUGAGUAACGCGUGGGGAAUCUGCCUUUGAGCGGGGGACAACAUUUGGAAACGAAUGCUAAUACCGCAUAAAAACUUUAAACACAAGUUUUAAGUUUGAAAGAUGCAAUUGCAUCACUCAAAGAUGAUCCCGCGUUGUAUUAGCUAGUUGGUGAGGUAAAGGCUCACCAAGGCGAUGAUACAUAGCCGACCUGAGAGGGUGAUCGGCCACAUUGGGACUGAGACAAGGCCCAAACUCCUACGGGAGGCAGCAGUAGGGAAUCUUCGGCAAUGGACGAAAGUCUGACCGAGCAACGCCGCGUGAGUGAAGAAGGGUUUCGGAUCGUAAAACUCUGUUGGUAGAGAAGAACGUUGGUGAGAGUGGAAAGCUCAUCAAGUGACGGUAACUACCCAGAAAGGGACGGCUAACUACGUG